rnacentral:rRNA from 1 species
CUUGACUGUAUCCUGGAAUUGGGUUCGGGCUUUUCUUGCGCAGCCUAGGUGGGAGGCUAUGGAGAUUUCCUUCCGGGGAAGUUGGAGCCAUCAGUGAGAGACCACUCUGGAGAGGCUAGAAUCCUAAUGGUGAUCCUUGAAUCAGGACACUUGACAGUUUCAGGUGGGCAGUUUUUCUGGGGCGGAAGCCUCAUAAAGGGUAACUGAGGCGCGCAAAGGUCCCCUCAGUCUGGACGGAAAUCAGACAACGAGUGUAAGGGCAAAAGGGAGCUUGACUGCAAGACCUACAAGUCGAGCAGGAGCGAAAGCUGGCCUUAGUGAUCCGACGGUACCGUGUGGAAGGGCCGUCGCUCAACGAAUAAAAGUUA